rnacentral:rRNA from 1 species
GACGAACCGAGCGAACGUUGUUCGGAAUAACUGGGCUUAAAGGGCGCGUAGGCGGGCCGCCAAGUUCGAGGUGAAAUCCUCCGGCUCAACCGGAGAACUGCCUCGAAUACUGGAGGCCUCGAGGCGGGUAGGGGCGUGCGGAACUGUGGGUGGAGCGGUGAAAUGCGUUGAUAUCGAUAGGAACUCCGGUGGCGAAGGCGGCAUACUGGACCACUUCUGACGCUGAGGCGCGAAAGCCAGGGGAGCAAACGGG